CAGCAGCCGCGGUAAUACCAGCACCUCAAGUGGUCAGGAUGAUUAUUGGGCCUAAAGCAUCCGUAGCCGGUUGUGUAAGUUUUCGGUUAAAUCCAUGUGCUUAACAUAUGGGCAGCUGGAAAUACUAUACGACUAGGAAGUGGGAGAGGUAGACGGUACUCGAUAGGAAGGGGUAAAAUCCUUUGAUCUAUUGAUGACCACCAGUGGCGAAGGCGGUCUACCAGAACACGUUCGACGGUGAGGGAUGAAAGCUGGGGGAGCAAACCGGAUUAGAUACCCGGGUAGUCCCAGCUGUAAACAAUGCAAACUCAAUGAUGCAUCGGGUUGAACCCGGUGCAGUGUUGCAGGGAGGCCGUUAAGUUUGCCGCCUGGGAAGUACGUACGCAAGUAUGAAACUUAAAGGAAUUGGCGGGGGAGCACCACAAGGGGUGAAGCCUGCGGUUCAAUUGGAGUCAACGCCAGAAAUCUUACCCGGGGAGACAGCAGAAUGAAGGUCAAGCUGGAGACUUUACCAGACAAGCUGAGAGGUGGUGCAUGGCCGUCGCCAGCUCGUGCCGUGAGAUGUCCUGUUAAGUCAGGUAACGAGCGAGAUCCCUGCCUCUAGUUGCCACCAUUACUCUUACGAGCAGUGGGGCGAAUUAGCGGGACUGCCGUAGUUAAUGCGGAGGAAGGAAGGGGCCACGGCAGGUCAGUAUGCCCCGAAACCUUGGGGCCACACGCGGGCUGCAAUGGUAGUGACAAUGGGUUCCGAAUCCGAAAGGAAGAGGCAAUCCCCAAACGCUACCACAGUUAUGACUGAGGGCUGUAACUCGCCCUCACGAAUCUGGAAUCCCUAGUAACUGCGUGUCAUUACCGCGCGGUGAAUACGUCCCUGCUCCUUGCACACACCGCCCGU
rnacentral:rRNA from 1 species